UAAUACGAAGGGGGCUAGCGUUGUUCGGAGUUACUGGGCGUAAAGGGCGCGUAGGCGGCGCACCAAGUCAGGCGUGAAAGCCCUGGGCUCAACCCGGGAAUUGCGCUUGAGACUGGUGUGCUUGAGUACGGGAGAGGAUAGUGGAAUUCCCAGUGUAGAGGUGAAAUUCGUAGAUAUUGGGAAGAACACCGGUGGCGAAGGCGGCUAUCUGGACCGUAACUGACGCUGAGGCGCGAAAGCGUGGGGAGCAAACAGGAUUAGAUACCCUGGUAGUCCACGCCGUAAACGAUGAGUGCUAGACGUUGGGGCUCUUAGAGCUUCGGUGUCGCCGCUAACGCAUUAAGCACUCCGCCUGGGGAGUACGGCCGCAAGGUUA
rnacentral:rRNA from 1 species